CUACAAAACUUAUACAACAUUAUUAUUCACACGUUUACAAGAUCGAGUUUCCAAGCUGUUCAUGUUGUGUUGAUCAUCCUGGUUCUUAUUAGGUUUUCUUCAUUCCUCCCACUUCCUAGUUCAUAUUCGUGGCGGAUCUUGACCAAAAUAUUUCGAGAAUUAAGCUUAGAAGAGUAAUAGGCAUCCAAAGGAACAACAUCACAAAACAAAAAUGGAAAGUUACAAAAUAAGCAAAACCCAAAUGUCAGAGGGCGAAGAAAGAGUCAGAGGAGAGCUAGAGAUGGAGAUGGACAAAGAAAAAGAUUUAGAAGUAGAAAUCAAAGAAGAAAUAUAUCGCCUCGCACUACGCCUUCAUCGCCUAUACCAACACCAGAGAGACGAGCAUAUUUCUAGCAAAGCUCAUCACGUCGACAAUCACGACCACGACCACGACCAUGACCAUGAUCACGACCACGACCACGACCACGACCAUGAUCACGACCACGACCACGAUCACGACCACGACCACGCCAACAACAACAACAACAACAACAACAACAACAACAAUAACAAUAACAACAAUAACAUAUACAACUUAUACGGAGUAUUUUUGGUAAUGUCAUAAUCGUAAAAUUUCACUGUAUGAUUUAUUUACUAUCUGUUUAUUUGUACUGAUGAAUAAGUGGCUUGAUCACGAAUGGCUUUGUUUAGUUUUUCAAGCUUUUGUUGAUUUUUUACAAAAAUAAGUAAAACGUUAUUUGUUUGUUUA